GGGAUUGUGGCUCAGUGGUAGAGCGCUUGCCUAGUAUGUAUGAGGCACUGGGUUCAAUUCUCAGCACCA
rnacentral:tRNA from 1 species